AUGGCGGAAAAACCGAAAAGCCCAAAAUGAACACAGCUGUGCUUUUCCCCUGUUUCAAAUCAUUGUGAACUCUGAUUUUUGACAAGCCUCAUUUCUCCUGAGAAUCUGCAUCAAGGAAUGACCACUGGACAUCUGAGGAAAACACAAGGAACAUGCUCUUCUGAUGUCCUCCAAUCCUGCUGAGAGCCUCACAGUCAAAACGGCCCCAAUCAGACAACCCCACACCUACGAUGAUAUCAUUGGUCUGUAUUGAGCCCUGCGAUGGACUGGCGACCUGUCCAGGGUGUAUUCUGCCUUCCGCCCCGCGACCCUGACGGAGAAGCGGCUUGGAAAAUGGAUGGAUGGAUGGAUGGAUGGAUGGUCUGUAUUGGAUUCGUAUUUCAAAGAAACCACACCAUAGGUUGUGGUGAAGCUGACGGAGCCCAACCUCUUCAGAGUGUCUCGGUCUGCUCAUUUUGUGUGCAUCACUUUUCACUUUCACUUUUCAAAAAAAAUUAUAUUCUAUCAAAUGGCAACAAUGUUUGUACUGCACUGUACCAUAGGAAGAUAUAACUCGUAUAGGUCCUUUACAUUUAUGUGGAGAUUCUUAAUGUUUUUUUUCGUGCUUUUAAAACAUCUGCUAAUUAAACAUUCAGAUGAGUGCACCCUCAUCAAAAUGCUUCUUUCA